CCCCCUCCAUCCAGCCCCAGCCUUGCCCGGACUUUGGCGGACCCCACAGCCCCUCUCGCAGGCUCCCUUCCUGAGAACAGCCCCAAGGCCAUGAGCCUGGCUGGCCUGCGACUCCCCUGGGGGGCAGCCUGGCCGGGGAGCAGUGUCUUCCUGGGAGCUCAGGAUCCUAAGUCAGGACGGAACCCCCGAGGGUCAGUUGGGACCAGCAAGGAAACUGGAGCUUCCUGGUUUCUUUCAGAUGAGGAAACUGAGGCCAAGAGAGAGCAAAUGAAAGUUCACAAAGGAAGAUCAGCCCUGAGCUAACAUCUGCUGCCAAUCCUCCUCUUUUUGCUGAGGAAGAC